UACGGGGGGGGGCAAGCGUUGUUCGGAAUUACUGGGCGUAAAGGGUUCGUAGGUGGCCUGCUAAGUCACACGUGAAAUCCCUCAGCUUAACUGGGGAACUGCGUGUGAUACUGGAUGGCUUGGAUUUGGGAGAGGGAUGCGGAAUUCCUGGUGUAGCGGUGAAAUGCGUAGAGAUCGGGAGGAACACCGGUGGCGAAGGCGGGUCUCUGGGCAUUUCCUGACGCUGAGGCGCGAAAGCGUGGGGAGCAAACGGG
rnacentral:rRNA from 1 species